rnacentral:lncRNA from 1 species
GGCAAACUAACAAAAAGAAGUCGUUGAGGUUCACCCUUGGAUGUGAGGAGCUCACAGAAAUAAACAUUCCUUUUACGAAAAAGGAGGAGGCAGGAUGUUCUCGUACUGUUCAAUAUGGGUUGCUUUUCUAAACUGAAGGAAAUGCAAGACUUAGAGGGAAAGAAGAGCGUAACUGAGAGCACCUGCCAAAACAAGAUCCAUGAAAUGAGAUUGCUGCAGGUAAAGUCAACAUACAGCUGGCUUCUGGGGACAGGAAGAAUACUUUUGGCUCAUGAUGGACCGAUUUGCUUGCUCCUCAGAUUCCCUGAACUGCAUUACAAUGACUCAUGGUGCAGGAGGGGGCUGGGGGGACUGGGUUUUGGUUUUAAAAGAAAGCAGUUAUCGCAAGGGAGAAGCCUUUUCAUUUUAGCUAAAAUACGUCUGUUUAAGUUUCCAGUGAUCACAUCUUGGAAGGAAGGACGCUGAGGUAUUAAUCAUUAAAUCCAUCGGUUUUGUUUUGAAAUGUGACAGAUUCUUCUAUUAAAUUUUUAUGUUGACUUACUCCUUUUUUUUUUUUUUUUUUUUUUUUUUACAUACUACUCUACCUUUAUAUUCACUGAAGGGUUGUUUUUAUAAGUAUAUAUAUGUGUGUGUAUUCUUGCCUAAGGACAAAAUAGGAAACUCUGGAUUUUCAGCAAGUCUCCACCCUAUGGCUGCUCUUUUUUUUUUUGGGGGGGGGGGGGGGGGGGAGUGGGGAAUUGUCUGGAACUAAACUUAAAGAGGAGGAAAAAAAUGUUCAGGGUGAGGGUGCAGACUGCUGGCUGAAGGCAUACCAGUAGUCUGGGCGUGAGCAAUGGGCCCAUCAGCCAAAUCCUUCAGUAUAUCUGAUCUCAGACUUGCAGGGCUUGAGAUUUUGUCUCUUACAAUGUGCAUGUGGAGAAAAAAGAAAAAAAAACAAACACCUGUAAGACAAGUGCAGUAUGUAUAUUUUGUAAAUCUCAUUUUUUGUAAGAAAAUAUGUAUUUAUGUUUUUACUUGUUUUUUUUUUUUUUUGAAGGUCUGUAUGAGGCCCUGCUUCAUCCCAUGUACAGAUCACUAAAUAAAUGAUUUUUAAUACAAGGGCUCUGAAAUUCUUUUAGUCUUGGAACAUGUAGCAUGUUAUAGAAGGGGGACAGCUCUGGGAGUGUCCUAGCCCUGUCCUGGAUCGCGUUUGUGUCCGUCCCCCCAGCUUUGUUGUGAGAGAUGGAAGAGAUGUCUGGGUAAAUGCACAACUGAUCAGAAACUCAGCAUGACUUGAAACUAGUCUUUCUGAAGUCCUGGCCCCUAACAAUAGAACACAGCAUUUUGAGGCUUUUCCAAAUGUUUGCCCUUGCUUGAGGCUUUCUUCCAGGCUCUGCCUCUUGGUAAAGGCAAGCUGAUAAGCCAGUUUCCUUAUCUAUUAAAUAAGGAUAAUGCUUUCUUCCCAUUCCAAAUGGACUCUGAAAUUGAGGAAAGGGAGGGUGCUACAGGUCCUAUAAAAUAAAUCAUAACUUCUUUCCUCAUCUCUGAAAUGUUGAUAAUUUCCAACAUUUUAUUUGUAAUGACUUCAUCUUAUUUAUUGGAUUCAUCACCUUUCCUUUGCCUUAAACCAUGACUGUAUUGUAAGUUUAGUUACAAAACAGAUCUAAGAUGCCACAGUGGCGUGCCAUCACGGUAGCUCUGGCUGCAAUGUUUCACGUACUGAGAACACUGCAGCAGUUGCUCUUUCUAGGCACUAUUUUAUUUGGAUGCUGUGCUUUAAAAAAAAAAAAAAAACACACAAAAAAAACCUUUUACAUUUAAAGUUUAUAAACUACUGAUUUAAGAUACUUUCGGAGCUGUCCCCAUUUCUGCUGCCUUUCUAGAAAAGCCCCAUCUUUCAUUUGAAACCACUGCUAUGCUCCCUAGAAUCUUUCACUUGUCAAAUUUCCUUUUUUGAAAAGGCCUUUGCUUUCCCGUGAGCCAGGCGGCUUCAAACUGCUUUAUGACACGAGCUCACUGAUAAUUGCUGAGGGGUUCACUCCACUCACUCAGGAAACCUGAACCUUUCUAUAAACAUUUCCUCCCAGUAAUCCGCUAGUGCCGGCCAGAACGAAGGAACGGCUAAAAGAGCUCGUGCUCAGGACUGGGGAGCAGCGGUGGGACCGGUGCCCCUACGCUGUGCAGCCACGGCUGCCUUCCUAAACAUGCAAUUAAUCCUUAAUACAUCACAAGCAGCCAAGCUUGCCAUUUCUGCAAGCUGCCUAUCUCCUCGCUUUUCUCUCUGCUCACUGCUCAUCCCCGUGAACUGGAUGAGAAACUGCAUUUAGGUGUGAUAGCUAUUUUUUGUUGGUAUGUGGAAAAGCUUAGACUUUUUUUUAGUUCACAUGAGAUAUUCAUAUCUGAAAGGAAACGUUUCUGUUUCCACCAGAAACCACUGAAGUUGUAUGCUUUUAUUUCAGGAUUUCCUAUUAGUUACUUCUGGAUUUAAAGUCACUUAUACAAAACUAUCCAAAUCCUGGGAUGUAACUUGAUUUUUAAAAUUUGAGACUGUAGGUGAAAUUUGAUGCUGGUAUAAAGUAGGAGCAACUGCUGUUAAGUUUUAAGCAGAUGUGACUCACAUCAAGACUGAAUUUGCUCACAGUGGAAACAAUUUGGAGAAUUUCAAGUAGCGAUAGCGUCUGGCCUUCUGGAAUAAAAAUCUGUACCACCGAUCCGAUAACAAAAUAGCAGUUACUUUACUUUCACAGUGGAGUACAAUUAAAACAAAUCUCUCUCUGAAGUUGCCUGGAAAAAAGGGGGAAAAACAAGCCUUUACCAACCUUUGUGAAUCGCUGCAAAACAAUUUUUCUUUGACCAAAUUCCCUACCCUUCUCCUUUGACCAACGUGCAUGCAGUGUUUUCUGAAUCACAAGACCUAGGCAAGUAAUAGCUAUCACUGACAAUUAGCCCUGUGAGGUUAGAGCACAUACCACAUUUUCAUGAAAAUCCAACACUUCCUGUAUGGUUUUUAUGUUUCAGAGGUAUUAGUGCUACUUUCUAUAAGAAAACACUGCUACUUCAGGCAAGUUAAACAACAUGCUUGAAAAGUUCUGUAAUUCACAGAUAGCAACAGCAACUGAAUGUCUACACAGAAAAAAAAAGUGCUUUCAUAACAAGUCAGUGUUUGUUUGGGUUUAUUUUUGGUGGAAUACCCACACCAGCGAUUGAAUGUUUUUGUCUAAGUACUUCACCCACAACCAAUAGCUUUGCAUGCAAGUAAAAAACCACACACCUCUGUUCAGCAACUGGCAACAGUAAACAUUAUUUAUAAUUUCUCAUGGGUUUAGAAACCAAAUUACUAGCUUGUACUUAAAUAGUCUUUUCUUCCUCCAUCUCAUUCUCACUUCCUUCUAAACCUUACAGGUACUUUCUAUACAGUCUGCUCUCUAUACUUUCUUUCCACUCCUGUUUAUUAUUUAAAACCAUGAAUCCAGCUGAAAGAAAUUUAGUUUGUUGCUUGGAGAGGAAAAGAAGACUCUGAAUCUUUCAGCACUAUGACUGUUCAUUGAGAUAGACUAUUGCCAAGCCUGUUCUAUAUAAACCAGGAUAAUUAUUUCAUGCCAACACGAGCGUGUGGUUUUGGCAGCUACAGCACUGCACAGAAUAAUAUAGGAUUGGAAGAAUGGCAAGUUCCCAAAUGCCCCACUUAGAACUGACAAAUUUUGACUAAAAUGAUGCCCAGACUAUAAAAUACAAACAUCGGGGCUUAACACCGCUCAGAUGGUAUUUGUUUUGCAGAUAGAGGACUGGGUGGUUUCUGACACUGCUUAAACCCAAGGUCCAAGGUUGCCUGUUUCGGAAGGCCAGGCACUGCUCAUCUCAAUACCAGGCCAGUGGGAGCGCGACACGGCACCUUCUCCUAAUGCAGGUAAAGACCAGGCUCGAGCCCAGCACUACCACUGCUGCAGCCAAGUUGAUGAACAAGGCCCAGUGAGAACAGAGCCCCAGCAGGGUCAUGAUGAACACACACUCCCCUACACAACUUGGUCCUCUCCAUCCAGCAUGCUUAACCGUGCCCAGGAAACUAUGGAACUGGGAUAAAUAAAAAAUACGGAUAAAGAGCAGGAACAGAAAAGGCCUAGAGCACAUUUUUAAUAGCAUUUGUAAACUGGCGUUAUCACUUAACCAUAUUAAGUAAGGAAAUCCCGCUAGCAACAACUUGUUUGUUUUGACUGCCCUGGCUGUGUCACAAUAACUUGGUUUGGUUAUAAGCAACCCUUCACUUAAAAACAUCAUUCUUACAAGUACAGGUGGAAAACGGAAAAUCAGUGUAUGCUGUUUAGGGGUGUAGUCUACAUGAAUAGGCUUUGACUGCACAGGUCUUGGAAAUCAACACCAUUCUAUGGCCACCAAGGUAGCCAUGAACCCUGCUAUUAACACCAGGUUCCCAAAAGCCAAGAAGACAAUUGGGAAAAGAAAGAAAAAGGUCAAUUUCUCAACUACCUCCAGCUUUACUGGAAGUAUUAGCAAUUCUAGCAUUGUUCUCAAAACAAUCCACAGAAAGACAAUGCUGUUCUCAG